rnacentral:rRNA from 1 species
GGCUGAUUAGCUAGUUGGCGGGGUAACGGCCCACCAAGGCGAAGAUCGGUAGCCGGCCUGAGAGGGCGCACGGCCACACUGGAACUGUAACACGGUCCAGACUCCUACGGGAGGCAGCAGUGGGGAAUUCUGCGCAAUGGGGGAAACCCUGACGCAGCAACGCCGCGUGGAGGAUGAAGCCCCUUGGGGCGUAAACUCCUUUCGACCAAGACGAUAAUGACGGUACUGGUGGAAGAAGCACCGGCUAACUCUGUGCCAGCAGCCGCGGUAAUACAGAGGGUGCAAGCGUUGUUCGGAAAUAUUGGGCGUAAAGGGCGCGUAGGCGGCGCGACAAGUCACCUGUGAAAUCCCCGGGCUUAACUCGGGGCCUGCAGGCGAAACCGUCGUGCUGGAGUAUGGGAGAGGUGCGUGGAAUUCCCGGUGUAGCGGUGAAAUGCGCAGAUAUCGGGAGGAACACCUGUGGCGAAAGCGGCGCACUGGACCAUAACUGACGCUGAGGCGCGAAAGCUAGGGGAGCA